UUCCGGUUGAUCCUGCCGGACCCGACUGCUAUUUGGGUGAGAAUAAGCCAUGCGAGUCGAAUGGGAUACCUAAACUUCCCAUGGCAAACUGCUCAGUAACACAUGAUCAACUUAACCUAUAGAGAAAAAUAAUCUCGGGAAACUGAGGAUAAUAUUUCAUAGUUGAAUCGGCUUGGAAAAGUUUUUCAACCAAAAGGAUAAGAAAAAUGGUUCUUAUUCGCUAUAGGAUAGGAUCGUGGACGAUUAUGGUUGUUGGUGAGGUAACGGCUCACCAAGCCGAUAAUCGAUAGGGGCCGUGAGAGCGGGAGCCCCGAGAUGGGUACUUAGACAACGACCCAGGCCUUACGAGGCGCAGCAGGCGCGAAACCUCCGCAAUACACGAAAGUGUGACGGGGUUACCCAAAGUGUUCAGUUUUGGACUGUGGUAGGUGAGUAAUGUUCCCUACUAGAAAGGAGAGGGCAAGGCUGGUGCCAGCCGCCGCGGUAAAACCAGCUCUUCAAGUGGUCGGGAUAAUUAUUGGGCUUAAAGUGUCCGUAGCCGGUUUAGUAAGUUCCUGGUAAAAUCGGGUAGCUUAACUAUCCAUAUGCUAGGAAUACUGCUAUACUAGAGGGCGGGAGAGGUCUGAGGUACUACAGGGGUAGGGGUGAAAUCUUAUAAUCCUUGUAGGACCACCAGUGGCGAAGGCGUCAGACUGGAACGCGCCUGACGGUGAGGGACGAAAGCCAGGGGAGCGAACCGGAUUAGAUACCCGGGUAGUCCUGGCCGUAAACGAUGCAUACUAGGUGAUGGUGUGGCCAUGAGCCGUAUCAGUGCCGUAGGGAAACCGUUAAGUGUGCCGCCUGGGAAGUACGGUCGCAAGGCUAAACUUAAGGAAUGGCGGGGGGAGCACACAGGGGUGAGCUGCGGUCAUGGACUCACGCGG
rnacentral:rRNA from 1 species